UUUCGAAAUACGUCCCGUGUCCCAAGUCCAUAAGCGUUCACUAGUACUUUUCUCUCCUUCUCUCAAACCCUAGCCCCCGCCCUAUCCACUUCUCUCUCUCUUCCCCUCCCCUGGCUCUCUUUUUUAAACUUUGGCAACCAAAAUGGAAAUUGUGAGAUGGGUUCUUGCCCUUUUUCCUUUUUUUUUUUGUUUGCAUGGUUUGAAUGCCCACUAUUCUUUCAUCUGCCAUUACGGCUAUAUAAUGCCCUGAUACCCACAGUUUCUCCAUUCCAUGAGAGCAUGGAUUUCAAGUGCCUUCCGUAUCAAUCUCUCUCUCUAAAAUACAAAAGUAUCUAUUUCAAAUAGAUGACAACACAAAAGAGCACUUGUUUGUGUAUUAUCUUGCUCUCAUUGAGGCGACGAGCAGAGGAGAAGACCAAUAUAGAGAAGAGCGAGUAAAGACGGUUUUGCAGGGGUUUUAGGAACCAGAUUGUAGUAUGAAUAUAGGAGUAUGUCACCAGGAAACAUGGCUUAUAUAUGCAAUCAGCUGUUUCUUUUUUGAGCUGUAUAUGGUAUGCCCACUUUAUUUUUACCAUGACGGACAAAUUUUUUGAGUGCAUUGAUUGGUUUCACUUUUUGAUUUCUUGCCUCUAUACAAGGGAAACAAUCCUUUUGAUUUAUGAUGCUCAUAGUUACAGAGCAUGCUGCUGCACACAUGGUGAGGUAUGUCUGUUUGUAGAAGCAACUUUUUAUCAUUGCAUUUUAUACUUCAUUUUAGUUGUAACAUCCUUAGUUAUAUUCUACCAUAUUUGAAGGUAUGAAUCCUUGUUGAGAAUCGAUGUCGAUGUCUAUUUUCGACUCAUAAUGUUAUCUGCAGCCGAUCGCUGAACCUGCAGACUGGUUGGUCUAGUUCCAAUUGCUUAUCUGAUGUAGCCAAAAUCUUGAAGUAGAGAGGUAAAAAGGAACACAAGAAAAAUUUCUGAAAUAAAGAAUCUUAAAUCCGAACAUUGCAAAAUAAGUAAAGUUGAGAAAUAUGUUAUUAUGGAGAUAUACUUUUGUCUUUUUCUCGAGAUCCAUAAUUUUCGUUUUUAUUUCUAGAAUUUCCAAUCUUACUUUUUGGCAGUUUGUGAGCAGACAUUAGCCUCUAAAACAAUUCAUAAGGAAUGCCAGGAAAUUAUAAUGCAAAACUGACUUUGAAUUCUUGCCUCAAUCUGAUACAUGGAUGGUUUUUUCUCCAUACUUCUUGUCAUCAUUAAAUUAAGUUUCAGUUAUUUUUUAUUAAGAUUCAAUCAAGUGUAGUUAAUGUCUUAAAGUAAUUUUGUAUUGCACAGUGCAUAGUGUGCAUGAUGAAGGCACACUACAUUUACCCAAAAUGAAGGCAAACCACAUCGCCUAGUGUACGCGUGUAGCGUUGUUCACAAUGUGCAAUGCGUAGUCCAUGUUGUGCAGGCGUGCAAUGCGUGGUGCAAAGUGCAUUACCUGUAGUGCGUGGUGCAAAGUGCAUUACCUGCAGUGCAUGGUGCACAUGCAUAACAUGCCAUGGAUAGUGUCGUGCGUGCGUAUGUUAUGUAUGAUAGCUAGAGCACAACACAGUCCAAAGUCAGGGGCUGCAUACUGCUUGUUGUGCUAGUGCAAUGCAAUGGCCAAGGUGGAUGGCCCAUGCAUACGUAGUGCACAUGCACGCAAUGCGGGUGUGCCGUGCAUGUGUGAGGUGCACAUUUCUUGCUACACUAUGCAUGUGUGUGGUGUGCCAUGCACGAUGCUCUAUUUAUGUGUGUGGUGUGCCAUGCACGAUGCUCUAUUUAUGUGUGUGGUGUGCCAUGCACGAUGCUCUAUUUAUGUGCGUGGUGUGCCAUGCACGAUGCUCUAUUUAUGUGUGUGGUGUGUAGUGUAUAUUGUAUUUUGCAUGUGUUCACAAUGCAUGCUUGGGAUACGCUUGAACAGUGGGUUAAAUGUGUGCAAUGAGCCUUGAUCUGCACAGUGCACUACACUUAUGUAGUGAAAUGUGCUUGGUACCCACGUGAAGUGCGCAUUGCAUGUGUAGUGCGAGGUGUAGUGUUUAGUGUGUGGUGCUAAUUGCACAGUGUGCAAUGCAUUAUUGGCAAAUGUGGGGCACAUUAUGUGUGCGUUGUUAGUGGUGGUGGGUGCAGUGCAUGACAUGCUGUUAGUGGCUAUUAGUAUAAUGCAUGGUGUUUUUUUUUUUUAGGAUAGUUUAGCGAGGAUGGGGUCCCCUGCCUAUGGUAUGAAUGGAACUCAAGACGUCAUGUUGUGGCGCCCUGCCGCCCUGAUUAAUUUGCCUUGGGCGUUUUUUAAGUACAGUGCAUGGUUGCAUUGUUUCAAUCCAUAGCGCUUGGUGGUUUGUGUUGUGAGUAAUUCUGGGUGCACAUUGUGCGGUGCAUGUCGUGCAUUGUGGGUGGUGCACAUUGUGUAGUUAUUUAUGUGGCACACUUUAUGCAGAUCGUAGUUCACAGUGUCCAUUGUGUAUGACACAGUGCAUAUUGUCUCUCAAGUUUCAGCUUUGUGGUUGACGAAUCAGUUUGGUUGAGGGGGAUGUCAGGGGUUCGAAUCCUUGAAAUGUGUCCUAGAAAAGAACAUUUUACCCAAAUAAAAGGUCUUUCAAAAAAAAAAAAACCAAAGAACAAAGUUGACCUACCUUAUUUUUAUAAGAAUAGGCUCAAGCUAGGUGUUGAGGGUAGCGGGGUGCCACAACAUGAUGUCUUGAGUUCCAUCCCUACUAGAGGUAGGGGAUUCCUUUUCUCUGUUAAACUACCCAAAAAGAAAAGUGUUUGCACUAAUUAUGCAAAAAGCAAGUGUGAUGCACGGUGCAUAAUGGAGGGACGUCAAAUGGGGUAUAGUACAAGGUGUGUGGUGUGCGGGCUCACAAUACAUUGUUUGUAGUGUGCUGUGCACAUUGCACA